UCCUAGGGAGUAUGUACUCCCUCUCCCAUCCACCGUUGAUUAAUCCAUCCCAAUCUCAUGUGUGCUACCGGGUUUAGCAGGCAAACCCGUUUUAGUUUUUCGUGUUAAAAAAAUUGCGAUUAAAAACUGAUCACGGUAUAUUCGGGCUAGUCAAACCGUUUAAUCUGGGAUUUAACACCGGGUAUAUGCAUUCAUCCAGGUGAUGAGCCGGCGGUGGCAGUGGCGAUCCCCGGACGACGAUGUCGAUCCAACAUCGAUGGCGGCUAGCACAACCCGUCUUUCUAAGCGAUGCGCAGGCAGAUCCAACCCCAUCCAUCGAAAUAGCAGAGACGGCGCCGCCGCCAGCCCGGCUCUUCCUCCAGGUUUCACGGCAUGCGUGCCCCUUCGUAAUCACCGGCGUACUCCUGUGCAGUGGCUCAUCCAUAAAAACAGCGGCGCCGAACUCCUGAUCUCAAAUCCCUGAUCAUGGCUUCUGUGUCAUGCCGAUGCGAGCUAGAACCAUGUACACGUACCAUGGAGAGCUAGCAGUGCAGGGCUGCAGGCCGACGGAAGAACCCCAUGGAGAACAGCGUGACGGCACGAUGUACACCAGCACCAGACGGCAGCCACCCGGCGGCAGAACACAUUAACGACCUUAACUCAACCCAGCGACACCAGCCCAUAUAUGCAUUGGGAAAAAGUUUUUGUUUAGAGAUUGUGAUUUGGCAGAAUCGGGUAUAUAUUACUAAAAAAUCAGAUCUGUGUUACAGUGGAGUAUGGACUGUACUUUGUCUUUGUAAUCAGCUUCACUUGUUCUUUUUAAUUUGGAAAUACAUUUCGCUUUUUUGAAUCUUUGAGAACAAAUACUGAUACUGACACUUUUGGAUCAUCAUACAUCCACGGAGCCCAGUAUAG